GAGGGUGUAGCUCAGUGGUAGAGCAUGUACUUAGCAUACAUGAGGUCCUGGGUUCAAUCCCCAGUCCCUCCA
rnacentral:tRNA from 1 species